rnacentral:rRNA from 1 species
UACGUAGGGGGCGAGCGUUGUCCGGAAUCAUUGGGCGUAAAGGGCGCGUAGGCGGCUUUUCAAGUGACGGGUGAAAGCCCUCGGCUUAACCGAGGAACUGCCUGUCAGACUGGAAGGCUUGAGACCGGGAGAGGUGAGUGGAAUUCCCAGUGUAGCGGUGAAAUGCGUAGAUAUUGGGAGGAACACCAGUGGCGAAGGCGGCUCACUGGACCGGAACUGACGCUGAGGCGCGAAAGCGUGGG